AUUUCAUCAGGCUCCUUUUGAGAACUGCGUUCAGGUUU
rnacentral:antisense_RNA from 1 species